CCUACGGGGGGCAGCAGUAGGGAAUUUUCGUCAAUGGGCGCAAGCCUGAACGAGCGAUGCCGCGUGAGUGAAGAAGGCCUUCGGGUCGUAAAGCUCUGUUGCGGGGGAAAAAAGGCAGCAUCAGGAAAUGGGUGCUGACUGAUGGUGCCCCGCCAGAAAGUCACGGCUAACUACGUGCCAGCAGCCGCGGUAAUACGUAGGUGGCGAGCGUUAUCCGGAAUGAUUGGGCGUAAAGGGUGCGCAGGCGGGCUUUUAAGUCAGCGGUAAAAAUUCGGGGCUCAACCCCGUCCGGCCGUUGAAACUGG
rnacentral:rRNA from 1 species